UACGUAGGGUCCGAGCGUUGUCCGGAAUUACUGGGCGUAAAGAGCUCGUAGGUGGUUUGUCGCGUUGUUCGUGAAAACUCACAGCUCAACUGUGGGCGUGCGGGCGAUACGGGGCAGACUAGAGUACUGCAGGGGAGACUGGAAUUCCUGGUGUAGCGGUGGAAUGCGCAGAUAUCAGGAGGAACACCGGUGGCGAAGGCGGGUCUCUGGGCAGUAACUGACGCUGAGGAGCGAAAGCUGGGGGAGCGAACAGGA
rnacentral:rRNA from 1 species